rnacentral:rRNA from 1 species
UGCCAGCCGCCGCGGUAAUACGGAGGGACCUAGCGUAGUUCGGAAUUACUGGGCUUAAAGAGCUCGUAGGUGGUUAAAAAAGUUGACGGUGAAAUCCCAAGGCUCAACCUUGGAACUGCCAUCAAAACUUUUUAGCUAGAGUGUGAUAGAGGUAAGUGGAAUUCCUAGUGGAGAGGUUAAAUUCUUAGAGAUUAGAAGGAAUAUCUAAAGCGAAGGCAAUUUUCUGGUUUGAACCUGACACUGAGGUGCGAAAGCGUGGGGAGCAAACAGGAUUAGAUA